rnacentral:rRNA from 1 species
UACGUAGGGGGCAAGCGUUGUCCGGAAUCAUUGGGCGUAAAGAGCGCGUAGGCGGCCCUGUAAGUCCGCUGUGAAAGUCAAGGGCUCAACCCUUGGAUGCCGGUGGAUACUGCAGGGCUAGAGUCCGGAAGAGGCGAGUGGAAUUCCUGGUGUAGCGGUGAAAUGCGUAGAUAUCAGGAGGAACACCUGUGGCGAAAGCGGCUCACUGGACCAUAACUGACGCUGAUGCACGAAAGCUAGGGGAGCAAACAGG